UAGGGAAUUUUCGUCAAUGGGGGGGAACCCUGAACGAGCAAUGCCGCGUGUGUGAAGAAGGUCUUCGGAUCGUAAAGCACUGUUGUAAGUGAAGAAUGCCAUAUAGAGGAAAUGCUAUGUGGGUGACGGUAGCUUACCAGAAAGCCACGGCUAACUACGUGCCAGCAGCCGCGGUAAUACGUAGGUGGCAAGCGUUAUCCGGAAUCAUUGGGCGUAAAGGGUGCGUAGGUGGCACGAUAAGUCUGAAGUAAAAGGCAAACAGCUCAACUGUUGUAUGCUUUGGAAACUGUCGAGCUAGAGUGCAGAAGAGGGCGAUGGAAUUCCAUGUGUAGCGGUAAAAUGCGUAGAUAUAUGGAGGAACACCAUUGGCAAAGGCGGUCGCCUGGUCUGUAACUGACACUGAUGCACGAAAGCGUGGGGAGCAAAGUAGGAUUAGAUACC
rnacentral:rRNA from 1 species